AUAAACUUCCUCUCUCUCUCUCUCUCUCUCUCUCUCUCUCUCUCUCUCUCUCUCUCUCUGCUGGCUUUGUCCUCUGAGAAUGAAUCAAUCUUCGCGCAUUCUGCUGAAAAACAAUGCCGAUGCACAUCGUCGCUUCUUGAGUCUUCAUCUGAGAAAUCAAAUUCAUCACAAAUUCAAAAACAGAUAAAAGCAGCAGUCAGAAAAUUCUGAAGAAAAUCAUCAUGCAUGCAUGAAUCCAAACACAAAGAUUUCUCGAAGCUCGACCGAGAUGGAGAAGGAGAGAAGAGCUAGAAUUGGGCAGCUUGCAAAGCGGCUGAGGCUCUGAUACGAUCAUGAUGAAUCGAUUGUCUGUGCAUUAAUUCAUGGGUGAGAGAGAGAGACAGAGAGACAGGAUUGUUCAUGACGAGUGAGAGAUUCAGGUAAGGAAAUUUUCGAAAAUUGAAUCAGUUCAUUCGAUCUGUCAGGUGGCUAAAACUUUAAUUAGUUUGAUCGAUUGCCCAAAUGAUUAGAUUUGAUUUCUAAAAAACAAACUACUGAUAUUAAAUUAAAUAUGUUUAUUUUCUUAAUUUGGAUCCACUUGAAUUUUAAGUUAAUUCUCUGUUUGCCUUAGAAAAAAAAAAUUUCUUCUGUUUUGGUAAAAUAGUACUGUUUCUAGUUUGAUCAAACUUAAUAUAAUGCUUAUAUUUUAUUAAAACCAGAUUAUAAUAUGUUAAAACACUUUUAAUUUUGUUUUAUUGUUUUUUCCUGUAUGUUACUACAUUUUUAACUGUAGUCGAUAUAAUGUUGUUGUGAUGAAAGCUAUAAAUUAGAUUUUAUGAUAUUCAUUUAUUGUAACAAUCGACAAACUUUAAUAUUCAUAUAUCAUUCUAUUUUGAAAGUUUAAUAAAAAUGUUCUGAUAAAUUUUUUAAAGAAUUUUUAAAAAUAAUGGAAGGCAUUUAAAGAAAUAUUUUUACUAUUUUAAGAAAUAAAUAAACUUUAAUAGAUUAUAUUUUUUGUAUUUAUUAUUUUAAUUAUUUUUUCAUUAUAUUUUAUUCAAAUCCACAUAAAAUUUGAUGCCCGAAAUUUAUGCUCAUUAAAAUUAUUUUGUUAAAUUGCUUAUCUAUCAUUAUCAAUGAAUUGUUUUUUAUUUUCUUAUUUCUCAAUCAACAAAAUUUUAUUUUUAGUAGUAAUUAAUAUAGAAAAAAAAUACAAUGAAAAAUUACUUUUUUAUUUUUUAUUUUCUUGUUCUUAAUUAAAUAAUGCCUCAAGGAAUAAUGUUGAAGGAAAAUGCUAAUUAAAAAUUAUAUAUUUUCUCUUAAUUAAUAGUAGAAAUGAAAAUUUCAUCAACAAUAAAAAUUUAAAUUUUAUCAAAAUGUAAACCUUAACUCUCUUUUUUCUCUUGAAUCACACAAUCUUUAAUUACCAAUAUUAAAAAUAUCAAAUUAAUUUAAACUCUAAACACGGUGAACCAAGUAUAUACUUCCCUCUCCAUGUGUAUGUGUGCCUACUGCUUAAAUGUGAGACACGUAGUAAGUGAGUCCCACAUUUAAUAAGCAUGAUGUUAAAAGAAGUGAGAUUCACUUACUACAUAGCUUACAUCUAGAGGUGGUAAAACGAGUCGAAACUGAUAGGUAACCCAUGAUCCGCCCGUUUAAACUAGAUUUGAGUUAAAUACAAGCUGACCCGUUUAUAAAUGUGUUAAUUUGGAUCCAACCCGUUUAUUAAAUGGGUUAGGUGGUUUCGGGUUGGGUCAGCCGUUAUGACCCAUUUAAAAAUAAAAAAGGAGUUUUUUUUUUAAAUGUCAUUUUAUAUGAAAUGUUUAAAUUUUAUUAAAAUAAAUAAAUUAUAUUUUUUAAACGGGUGAUCCGUUUAUUAAGCAGGCAGGUUUGAGUUUACAUAGUAGUCACUCGUUAAUAAACGCGUCAACCCAAAUUCGAACCCGUUUAACCCCAACCUGUUUAUGACCUGGCCGAACCCGGUUCGUUAACCCGUUUUCCACCCCUACUUAUAUCUAAACUGUAGGAACAUAAACACGACAAAAAGCAUGUACAUUCUAUAAUUUCCUCCUCCUAUAUAUAUAUACAUGUUUUUUUGGGGGGAAGAAUGGAGGUUACAACUAAUAAAGUUAAUAGAAAGUUAAGCAAAUAGCUGGAGUUAAUGUUUUAAAGUUUUCAAAUUUAAAUUAUUUUGUUAAAUUACUUAUGUAGACAUGAUUUAUAAGUAUUGUUAUUUUGUUACUUGUAACGCUAAGGACAUUGUUGAAAAUAAGAAGGGGGAAAUAUUGGUUUGGUAUUUCCUUAAUUGGAGAUGUUUGGGGAUGGUUCCAUUUGAAUGAUAUAAUGCAAAAUUAGAUAGUUUUAUACUCUUUUGGUAAGGCUAACAUGAAAUGAAAUAACAAAAAAAAAGACUUAUAGAAUUAAUAUCCUUGAAUCUAUCAAAAGAAAUGGUUCAUGAUAGCAUAAAUUGACAGAAAAUGAUUCAUAUAACCAACCCCACUUAGUGAGACUAAGACUUAAUUUUGUUUGUUUGUUUGUUUUUUAUGUUAUCUUCAAUCAUAUUCAAGAACAUUAUAUAAUGUAAAAGCUUUGAUCGAGCCAAUUGAAGUUAAAACUUAAUGAUAGAAUCAAAAUUUUCAAAAGAAGAUUUAAUUUUGAUCAUUUUGAAUGUAGCUUGAUUGUAAAUGGUGAAACAAUUUUCACAUAAAAAUAAGAGAGUCUAAUUAUACAUUUUACAACACUAUCCCUUCAUAUAAGAUUUUGCUAGUCCAUAAAUAAGUAAAAUUAGUCAUAAUGAAUACGACAAACAACUUUAAUAAAGCGAACUCAUCAUGAUUUGUUGAUUAGAGUUGUAUGUCUUAUUUUUUUAUUUAUUUAUUUUUUAAAAUUCUUUCUUGAAAUCGAGAAAUCCUUUUAGUAGAGAAUAAUACAUUUAUUGAAGGAUUGUGAUAGUUCAUUGUGAAAUAUUGUGAAUAAAAUCAUCCAUUGUGCAUUUACAUUCUCAUUGAAAGUCUCAUAUUCUUAGAAUGAGAGUAUAUAUAUUAUAUAUAUUUUCGUUAUUUUUCAAAAGCACACUUCAAAUAUCUAGUUAAAUCGAGCACCUCCCAUAGCAACACCUAGAGUAUACAAAAAAUAAGAAAUCGACUUUUUAGAAAAACAAUUUUCCCAACGAAAUGUGUGCUUUAGAAAGUGUGAUUGUUUUCUCAAGAAAAUUUUUGUCCAAGCAAAUGAUUGGGAAGGAAACCCAGGAGAGUUUUUCCUGCUAAGAUAUAUAGCUCUUUCUUGGAAGAGGGCAUCUAUCCAAACACAAUAUUUAGAAAUAGAGAGGCUUUCUCUUCAUGAAUGUACUACUUGAUGAAUAGACAAUGACCAUAAUUCACGGCCAGAAGCCACACCAUCCAACGUAUGAACAUAAAGCUAGAAAGAAAGAAAGAAACUUUUAUCUAUAACUGGCAAAUAGAACCACAGUUUAUUAAAUUUGCAACACCACAGGAUUACAGAGACGCAACAUGCAAGUUUCUUAGUUUACACAAUUUAACACAGCGAUCAAAUGAUUUUAACAUCGGUUUUAUGCUUGGUUCCCAUGCGAUGCAUAUCCUCCCUAUAGCUUUAUCUAUUAAUCACACUUUCUCAUCUUCGCAACUCAAAAUAUACCUAUCUGGGCAGACACGACCUUCAAAUGUUAGGCCUCACGUUGAGGCGAGAUGCCAGUUUCUGACCCAGAGACUUGUCAGCCUGUCAAAAGACCCGAAAGGGUUAAUACCUAUCAGUUCGCAAUAGAUUUAUGAGUAGUAUAUAGCCGUAAUUUGGAGUCGGAAGUCAUUAAAAGCAUGCAGUUCAGACCAGACCUGAGACCAGUAAGAGACCCAGAUGCUGCGGACCUCGUGGGUGACCCGUGGGUCAGACAAUGCAUUAACCCAUCGGCAUAUGAAUCGCUCUUGCCUGUGAAGGAAAAAAAAAACCAAGAGGGGGCAGAAAGCACAAACCGUGUCACUGGCUGAAAGCUGAUUUAAUGUAGAAAUAACUGAGAGAGAAAUAUGGAAAUACCUGUCGGGUGCCCAUGAUCGGUAUCUCUCUCCAGGCUGCUUGAAGUUGUUCUCCUUUUCAAUAACGCACUGCAUGCAAAAUUUAAUAAUGAUAAUUAAAAAUACAAAUGAAUCUAA